rnacentral:rRNA from 1 species
AGAGUUUGAUCAUGGCUCAGGGUGAACGCUAGCGGUGCGCCUAACACAUGCAAGUCGAGCGGUAGACUAUCUAGCUUGCUAGAUAGUUGAGAGCGGCGAACGGGUGAGUAACACGUUGGUAUCUGCCCCCAAGUCAGGGAUAGCCAUUGGAAACGAUGAUUAAUACCGGAUAGUCUCUUCGGAGUAAAGAUUUAUUGCUUGGGGAGGAACCUGCGGUCUAUCAGCUAGUUGGUGAGUUAAAAGCUCACCAAGGCUAUGACGGAUACCUGGUCUGAGAGGAUGAUCAGGCACAAUGGAACUGACACACGGUCCAUACUCCUACGGGAGGCAGCAGUGAGGAAUCUUCCACAAUGGACGAAAGUCUGAUGGAGCGACACCGCGUGAAGGAUGAAGGCCUAACGGUUGUAAACUUCUUUUCUGAAGGAGCAUAAUGAGAGUACUUCAGGAAUAAGGGGACGCCUAAAUACGUGCCAGCAGCCGCGGUAAUACGUAUGUCUCAAGCGU